AUUGAACGCUGGCGGCAGGCCUAACACAUGCAAGUCGAACGAGUGGCGGACGGGUGAGUAAUGUCUGGGAAACUGCCUGAUGGAGGGGGAUAACUACUGGAAACGGUAGCUAAUACCGCAUAACAGCAGAUGUGCCCAGAUGGGAUUAGGUAGUAGGUGGGGUAAUGGCUCACCUAGGCGACGAUCCCUAGCUGGUCUGAGAGGAUGACCAGCCACCCUGGAACUGAGACACGGUCCAGACUCCUACGGUAGGCAGCAGUGGGGAAUAUUUCACAAUGGGCGCAAGCCUGAUGCAGCCAUGCCGCGUGUAUGAAGAAGGCCUUCGGGUUGUAAAGUACUUUCAUCGAGGAGGCGUUACUCGAAGAAGAAGCACCGGCUAACUCCGUGCCAGCAGCCGCGGUAAGAC
rnacentral:rRNA from 1 species